rnacentral:lncRNA from 1 species
ACAUACACAAACGGCUUACACGAGGGUAAGCAAUAGCCAUUAGUGAAAGAAUAAGGAAACUAAACAUUCACUUGUACUAUGAUUCAAUUUAGAUCAUAUACAUACAUCCAACUUGUAAUUUUUCGAAUUCCUUACUUCUCGUUUCAUCAUUUCUUUCUUACAUCACAUUUACCUCAAAAUACAUAUUACAUUCUUUUCUUUACAUUAUUUACCAUCAUAUACAAAAGAUGAUCAUAGGGUACUUUACUACAAAAUGAAACUCAACUUUGGUGGCCUCUGACUAAGGCGCGAUACCUUUACCUCGGUCGCUCGUCGGCUCGCUCGGUCCCGGCUCUGUGGAAAUAGUGGGGUGAGAACUACAACAAAGUUUCUAGUGGGUUUGGCCUCAACAUCACCGACUUUCCCACUAGGACUAACUCAGGCAUAAUAGAAAGAAUAAGCUGCAUAUAGUAACCAAUCUAUACAUGAUGCUAAUAUGCCUGAACAACAAAGCAAGGAGUAUGCUCAACAUUAAACAUAUGCAGAUUAUGCAAGUUCUUUCGUUCUUUACACUUUACACUUUACACUUUGUUCUUUACUCUUUGUUCUUUACUCUUUAAUCCCAAGGCUAAUCCGGGGGUUUCGCUACAUUAACUUGCUUCACAUUAAGUCCAUCAUCGCAGGAACUCACCGGCUAGGACCGUCCUUCGUGUUUACUCCAACCCGUGAUGCAUAACUCCGAAGCGCAUCGCCCGAGGGGGAGCGACCGCCCUCGAGCACGGAACUCAUAGCAAGUAUGAUCAUAUCCUUAACUCAAAGGAUUAUAAGUUCAAUCUUGACUUUACACUAGCUCUAGUGUUCUUUACAUCACUUUAUGUUGCAAACUCAUGCACUCACAUUCUUUACAUUUUCAUUACUCUUGCUAACUCUAGCAUUCUUGUUCUUUACAAUUCUUGUUCCUAUUGCCCCACUUUACUUUAACUUUACACGUUGUCAUUUUCAUCAUUCUUUUCAUCACUUUAGUUCUUUACAUCACACUAACUCUAGUGUCAUUUCACAUCACUCUGUUCUUUUGCUCACUUUGGAUGCUCACUUUUCUCUCAUGCAUACACAUAGGGUUUUCGACAUCACAUAGUUCUCAUUCAUCAUAUUAUGCAAGUUGUACUCACAAUCAUGCAUCAUUACAUUUUCAUCAUACUUUACUCUUAAAUGCAUGCAGCAAAUAUGUAACAUAUGCUCAAAUGAAUGACAUAUUAGGCAUAGAGAGAAGUUCAAUGAGUUUGAGAAGCACCACCCACCUCGUAGGCUUUCCAAGGUGCUCCGAUAAUUUUCUUGGGAUUUUUUUUAGUCGCCCGGUUCACUACCUGCGGCAAAAUGAAGCCCUAUUAGGCCAUUUUGCUCAUAUCUUUACUUUGGCUUUUUGUAACGUUAAUCCGAGCGCACCAACGCGUCGGAAAUAUCCCCAAUUAGAUUUUUGAAGGGUCAAUUUCACUUAGGAAUCCCCAUGAGCAAAAGCCCCAAUUUGGGUGCCCUAGCUCCAUUGCAUGUGUAAACCUAGGGUUUGAUCUCAUUGGGAAGCUAAAGUAGCUUCAUUAUACUCUAAAUAGUCCAUUAGAAUCAUCCCUAGCUCACUCCAAACCCUAGUUUGGAUUUCACCAUGAGAGGUGAUGGAGCUCACCUCAAGCUCCACCAUUUUCAUGGUCUUGAUCUCAAAAGAAGCAAAAAGAAAGCUUCAAAUACUCCAAAGGUUCCAUAAAAACCGUCUUCAUUCUAAUCCAAACCCUAGUUUGGAAUUAAACAUGAGAAGGGGCAAAGCUUACCUCUAAGCUUGCUCCUUUCUUGCUCUAGAGAGGAAGAAGAUGAAACCUCUUUGCUCCUUGAUCUCCUUUUUCACUUUCUUCUCCUUCUUCUCCUUCUUUUCUUCCUUUCUUCCUUUCUUCUUCUUCUCCUUUGACUUCUAGAGAGAGAGGGGGAGAGAAGAGAGUGUGAGAGGGUGAGGAAAUGAGAGAAAUAUCUCAUUUGCCCUCAUACAUAGCUAUUGGGUUGCAAAAUUGCAGCUAAACCCCUCAGCUUUUAUCUCUGUGCACUGCUUGGACUGGGCAGUUUUCGCAGGCAGAGACCGGUCUCCCCGAGCAGGGACCGGUUCCCGAAGGUCCACCCUGCGCAGCCAGAGCUGCUGCGCGCAAUGCGACGGUCUCCCCUCCUGUGGGACGGUCUCUGGCGGGACGUCUCCACAAGGCAGAGACCGGCGGCCCGAGAGCCUGCUCUUCCAGGACUUUAGCCGAUUUUUCGCUGUCUUAUUCUGGGCACGCCGUUCGGGGACGGUCCUCCCACCAGGGACCGGCGCCGAGAGCCUUCAAGAUCUGCAGUCAAAUUUUUGAUCCUUUAGCUCUCGAAACACCUCCCGUACUCACUUUAAUAUUUUUAACCCUGUCGGACUUUCCGAAGUGCACCGUCCUCGCACUUUUGUGUCAAUGCACUAAAGUUCGACAUCUUUUUUAUUUUUUCAUUUCAGGUAUAUUAUAUUCUCACCCUUUAAAAUGUGAAUUUCGUCCGCGAUAUUACGCCAGUACUCUUAACUCGUCAGACUCAAAUAAGUGCGGAUACUUCUUCCGCAUGGUUUCCGUCGGUCCCAGAGUCGGCUUCUCGCGCCGGCUGUGGUGCUCAUUGGAUUUACAUACUCGGAAAUCUUGCGACUUCGCAACUGUUUAACUUCUCGACAUUUGGAUUGCACCACGCGCGGUACUCCUGUAAGUACAUAUCCUACGUAACUCUACGGGCUCAUACUCUAACACAUGUUGUUCGCGUAUUAGACUGAAUAUACUUUCGGAGUUUUGGACACAUGCAAACACAUUUGAUACUCCCGCGGUCUUGGUGCUAGUGCGAGUUUAUCGCCCCGCACCCACAUGUUCCAAUAUCUCAAACGGUCCGACAUAACGGGACUUAGUUUUCCACGGACCCCAAAUCGGUUUGGACUCCUCCGCAUUCGGCCGCAGUACUCUCAGAUACACGCGUCUCCACGCGAACUCUAAAUCCUUUCUCCUCUUGUCGCAUAACUCGUUUUGCGAGAUUGCGCUGCCGCUAAUGCGUUUGACGCAGCAGGCGACUUUCUGCUGUCGCUCCCGGCCACUUACAUCGGGCAAGAGCCGCAUCUCUCGGCGACGUCGCUCCGAUGGUAGUGAGACGUACACUUGCGAAUCCAUAUAGUGCCCUUUUCAAACGGCGCCAUCACUAUGCUUUCUUGAUAACUGUUCAUUAUAGGCGAACUCCGCCAUUCGGCAGAGAUAUCAUGCCAUCCGUCCUAUUGUAAUCUAGUAAUCACGCUCGAAGCAGAGUCCUCGACGUUUGUAUCGUCCUCUCUGACUGUCAUCACUCUGAGGAUUGAAACGCCAGUAGCUAAAGUCGAGCCGCGUGGCUAGCUGCGUCUUGCAAACUCUUCCAAAAAUGGGAUGUGAACCUGGGGUCUCGAUCCGACACGAUCGAUACUGGAACCCCAUGAAGUCUCACAACCUCGUCGAGAUACACUUGAGCUAACUUGUCUCCCGACCACAUAGUAUGUAUCGGCAAGAAGUGCGCCGACUUUGUUAAUCGAUCCACUAUCACCCAUACCGCAUCGUGUCCACCUUGCGAUCGAGGCAAACCGGUGACAAAGUCCAUUGCUAUGUCUUCCCAUUUCCAAACGGGUAUUGGUAGACUUUGUAGCUUUCCCGCUGGAAAUCGGCGCUCGGCUUUCACUUGUUGGCAUGUUAAACAUUGCGCCACAAACUCUCCAAUAUCUCUUUUCAUACCCGGCCACCAAUAAUGCUCCUUCAAGUCUUUGUACAUUUUAGUGCCACCGGGGUGUAUACUAUAAGGGGAUUGGUGCGCCUCUUGCAUAAUCGCCUUUCGCAACUCGUCAUCUUUAGGCAGACACCAUCGAUUUAGAAAUCGAAGUGCGCCAUCAGCUCCAAUGCCAAAGUCUUCGGCAUUGCCAUUCUCUACUUCACUUCGCACCUUUUGAAGGUAAGGAUCCGAGGCUUGGAGAUCCUUGAUUCUUUCCAAUAGGGUCGGUUGCACAACUAAUGCGACAAGUGUAGCCGGCACUCCCGGCGCUACCACUUCCAACCCGAAUCGUUGCAUUUCCUUUUGCAAUAGCGGUUGAGGCGUAAUUGCCGUCGCUAAGUUUUUCGCCAAUUUUCUACUUAGAGCAUCGGCCACGACAUUGGCUUUCCCUGGGUGGUAUAAUAUGGUGACAUCAUAGUCCUUUAACAACUCUAACCACCGCCGCUGCCGCAUGUUCAACUCUUUCUGGGUGAACAAGUACUUUAGCUCUUGUGAUCGGUGUAGACCUCACAAUGUUCACCGUAUAAGUAAUGCCUCCAAAGCUUCAGCGCGAAAAUCACCGCGGCUAACUCGAGGUCGUGAAUCGGGUAGUUCUUCUCAUAACUCUUUAUUUGGCGCGAUGCAUAUGCAAUGACUCGCCCAUUUUGCAUUAACACACACCCGAGACCCACAUAAGAGGCAUCACUAUACACUACGAAAGUCUCCCCCGGAGUCGGCAAAGCAAGCACCGGGGUCGACGUCAACUUGCUCUUUAACUCCUCGAAGCUUCGAUCGCAAUCGUCGCUCCACACGUACUUUACUCCUUUAUGCGUGAGGCGCGUUAGUGGAGUGGUUAUUUUGGCGAACCCCUCCACGAACCGGCGAUAGUAGCCCGCCAGUCCAAGAAAACUGCGGAUCUCCGCUACAUUCGUCGGGCGAGGCCAAUCCUUGAUCGCCUCCACUUUCUUCGGGUCUACUGACACUCCGUCGCCCGACACCACAUGGCCCAAAAAUGUGACCUUCUUUAGCCAAAAGUCACACUUCUUUAACUUUGCAUAGAGCUUCUCCUGCCUGAGUAUCUGCAACACAGCUCCGAGAUGCUCUUCGUGCUCCUCUUCACUUUUCGAGUAAACCAACACGUCGUCUAUAAACACUACGACGCAUCGAUCCAACAAUGGCCUAAAGACUCGAUUCAUCAAGUCCAUAAAUGCUGCCGGGGCAUUAGUAAGCCCAAACGGCAUUACCGUAAACUCAUAAUGGCCAUACCGCGUAGGAGAGAAUCUCCGGAUGUAACAAAGGAUCAUAAGUGGGAUGCCUAUGGCACUCGCAACAGCCGUCAAGUUGAAGAAUGGGCGAUCGACCGGUAUCAAACAAAGCUCUAGCUCGAUAAUACCAAUAAGUUAUAAAUGAUACCUGCGAGUCACAUUCCGGCUGCCGCGAGCCGGUACCUCAGUCUGAGCCGCGUACAGGUGGGCGCCCGCUCGGGGCCUGGUCGUGAACCCGCUCCUGCCUGUCGCAGAAUCUGGCGGCCGGUCCUACACUGGUGGUUGAGCAGUAGAUGUCCAUCUGGCGACCUGGUCGAUGACUGGUGAUGAUCGCCAGCAAGAGGCCUGGCAGGAGCUCCUCAGGCAAGUUCCGACUGGAAGUGGGCCUCCUGGCACCAAAAAGCACCUCCGGCUGCGUGACCUGCCGCGGUAAUGAAGGGCGCCAAGAUCACAGCACGGGGGCCGGCGACGAUCGGUCUCCUCGCUGGUAGAUCGCCGCCGCCUCCGCGACUCGGCUCCUGCUCGCUGGGUGUCCUCGACGGCCUCCUUGAGUUCGUCCUGACUCGCACCCCUCAGUCGCGGGCCUUCUGCUUUCGCUUUCUCUCAAGCUCUCGCGACGCUCCUUGCAGAUUCCGCGCCGCUCCUGCCUUCCCCAAUCAUAAGCUCGAUCCACAACCUCUGGGUAGGUCCUGGAGGUUGGAAGACUCCACCAACGCGAAAAUAUGAGAGGCACGCAAACUCGUGCGCCCAAAGAAUGCGGGCCCUUGUCCUCGUGUCAUCCCUCUACAACAAACGGUACACAGUGAGAUAAUCGAGAAAACUCCCAUCUCGCCUCGGCACGGACCCGCUCUCCUGGCGCAACGUCUGAGCAUGCGCAAGUCUCUCCAGUCUUCCUCUUUGACGGUGGUAGGGAAGUAUGCGCCAGAAGAAGCUGCCUUGAAUCGCGUCCAAUUUUGUGAUCGCUGUCAAGUCGGUGCUGGGAUUGUCCUGGAUCACGCAACCACCAACGUAGGCUCGCCGUCCAGAAAGUGAGUGCGCGAGCCAAUACCUGUCGCUCGGUCUGCCCUUUCCUCACGAAGGUAUCUUCGAAAUUAGUUUCUCCAUUAUCAUCAACAGCACUCUCAACAAUCCAGUGUCGACGUUCUGCCAUCGAACAUCAACUCGGCUGCACUCCUGAACUCACUGAGCGGCGGCUCCAUGAGCGAUCCCGCUCGGUUCCCAUCGCCAUCACGGGAAAGGCCACCCCGUCGCCGGUCUCUGCACUGGGACCCGCCAGCCACCUCCCCUCGCCAUCGGUGUGGUCGCCGGUACCGCACGGAAGACUGGCAGCGGGGGACUGGCGCCCCGGUCGUGCGACUCGCACCACGGUGCUGCAGGUGUAGACCCUGGGUUUCCAUCGAAUACUGCCGCCGCUGAUGUAGGAGGUCUCCAGAUGCUUCAUCCCCCGCCUCCUGGCCGCUGAGCCAGCCUUCAGCCCUGUCGCUGCGCCGCUGCCCGCGGUCUGCUGCGCCAACAGAUCAGUGAGAACCUGGCAAGCUGGUCCUGAAUGUCACGGACCUCAACUAGAUGCCGGAAGUAAGUGGAGUUCUCAACCUCCUCGGUGAUAAAGUGCCCGGCAUCACUCCGCCCCGCAAGAUCUGGGAGGCGAGUAAUUCGGCUCGGCGCUAAGAACAUAAAGGUGCAAGUUAGCUACCCGGCACUAUCGGAAUCGCCCGGCUCAAAUAGAUAAAACCGCAAAUCAUGCGAAGUUAAGGAAGUGUCCUUCACUACUAACACCCCUGAUGUUACGUUUGUCGGCCGGCCAAACGUAACCCUCCGCUAAGAUAGAAACCAUACACUAGGCCGGAUCAAACUCAACUUUUAAGUUGCUCAUAAACCAAUCGCAAUACUUAUCGCUCACGAAGUCAAUUAGAGCCCCGUCUCUCACGAGCUGCUAAUUGCUAAAUCCCAACCGGCUAAAGGUCUGCUAGUCCACUAAGACUCCAACCUCUAGGCUCUGAUACCUAAAUUAAUCUGUCACGGGCGAUUCCCCGGGACCGGCAGAGGCCUCCCGUAGCGUGUCCAGGACCGUGGCCCAUAUGUCUGCAGCAUAUAAGGAGUCUAGAGUAAGAUAAGCGAAGUAAGGAGCGAGAAGAAAAAGAAACGCAUAGCAAAACUAGUGAUAUCAGAGCAGUAUGAUUAUCUAUGUCUUUUUCUUAUAACAGUACAAGGAAAAGAGGCAUACUACAACGGGCAUAAAAGUGAAACAUAAGUAGUACAAUAUCUGCUCUCCCACCACGUACAAAAAUGGUGGUUCUCUAGUACAGCUGGAAAACUACUCAACGGUCUCACAAAAGAAACAAGAAGAAGGUAGAUCCACCUAUUCAACGAUUCCGUUCGGUAAGCAGCUAGCCGAGGUAAUAGCUUUUCCGCGAUCUCCUGGGCCUGCAUUCUCUCGUGUGGAAAGCUCUGAAAAACAACGGAGAAUAAAGAAAGGGCGUGAGAACGAUAAUUAUAGUUCCAGUUGGCAAUUACUGACCCCCUUAGCUCAUGCUCCACCUAGGCCCAAACUAAGGGUAAGCAACGAUAAUAAUAAUAAGCAAUAAGGAGUAUGCACAAUAAACUGCUGAAGAAAGCAUACUGAAAUGCUAGUCUACUGUGUCCUCAGUAAGCAUAGUUGGUCAACCAGAAAGUAGCUCUAUUCUAUCAUUUUACGAUUAAGUCCAAUGGGCCAACUAGUUAAUAUUCGUUAACCUUUGUCAAUACAUGAAUGUAGAAGUCUAUCAUGGCAACGCAAGUAUACUACAAGUCUCACACUAUGCUAAAAUGCAUUGUAAAUGUUAACAACUUACUAAGGGUCCUAUUAAGUAGUGAUCCAUUCUCUCAACGUCGUGUCGAUUUUCAUUUCCAAUUAAGGAUGCUACCCAAGGUAGUCCGGGCUGUGCCGCCUAAGUGCCUGCUGGUAGUCCGCACAUUCUACACAUGGAAUGUUCUGUCGCCACUGACCCCUAGCGUCUCAUACGCGCAACGAGGCGAGCAAAAGUCGUAUAGGCAACGCCGGAUGCCGGCUUUGGGGAGCGACCCUCCCAGCAACUGUGCGAAUGAGCACCAAAUGGCAAACAAAGCAAGUCACUGUUCUCAAGUACCCAACCCUCAUGUCUCCUACCUGUAUACGUCGCUAGCAACCCGACAGAUCUAGUUCAAAGUCAUAUAUGUGAAGUCCCAGACACAUAUCACAUUGCUUAGUGCCUCUUAUGAACAGCUUAAGCUGCCACAACUAAAUCAUGUCCAAUUAAAGACAUUAAACAUUAAUGCUCACUAAGCCCCGGGCCCCAAUGCCCUUAUGACAUUGCCCAACCUCAACAAGUUCAUCUAGUCCCUAAGCCUCUCAUAGUCCAAAAAUUCCCUCAAUGUGCAGCAUACUGGUAAUAUAUUGAACGCAUGAAAAGCAAGGUUUCGUUUUCAUAAUAGGGAUUAUAAUCUUCAUAGUCUCGACUAUGAAUGCUAGGCCACACAUCAUGCUCCGCUACUAUUAUAAAGGUCCCAAAAUUUACUAAACACAUAACCUAUGCUGUUAAGACAUUAUAAAAUUCAUAAUAAAUACGUUAAAUGAAAAUACAAGAAUUUCAACUUUUCAAAACAUUUAACACCAAAAUAGGAGCAUUUUCUCAAUUGUAUGUUAGGCCAAACGCUACACGGGAAUCCGUCGGCGUGCUCGCUUCGAAUCGUCGAAUGGAGUUGUCCACGAGCCUGCAGAUACCCUAAAAAGAUAAUCAGGCGAAAAGAACGAAGGGCCAUACGACCAUCUAAUAAUACAAACAUAAUCUAGAAGCAAAAAGGCCAAAACUAACCCUCAAAGAUAGAAAUCUCUUCCAAACUCCAAAAGAAGCUUUGAACCCCUCCAAUCCAAGCCCUACGAAGGUAUUCUAAAAGACCAACCAAUCAAGCGCUGCAAAAGCCCAGGUUCAGAAAAAGCCAAUAAACCUAAGUCCCAAAACUAGGGUUUUCAUUCUCCAAAAAUCACCCAAAACAAGAACUACAGGAGGGAAACAUGGUAACUAACCCCUUUGGAAGCUUCAAUGCCAAACUCGAAAAUGCCCUAGGGUUUUAAGUUUCGGUCAGCCACUUAACUCUACACAGCAAGCUCCAAGCCUGGCAAGGUGGAAAAGAGAGAAAGUGGUUGAGCUCCAAGUCCCUCAAGCUAGCUCACUCCCUAUCUUCUCCUCCUUACUUCUUCUCUUAUCUUCUCUCUAGGAAGUGUAGGGAGAGGAUGAGAAUCGAGAAAAUGAGAGAGGGGAGAGGGGAAAUGGCUAAUAACCCACUAAUGUAAGCGAAAAUCUGGAAAGGUCCUCCCAAAAAUCCAAUAUUUGCAACAGCCCGCGUCUGGGCAUUUUCAGCCCAGAGGACCGUCUCUCCCCAGCAGGGACCCCGCGGUUCUCGUCGCAUGCGAACGAACUGAAAAACAAGCGUUCGGGAACCGGUCUCUCCCUAGCCGGGUACCGGUCUCUCACAUGCAAGACGCGCUCGGGGACGCCGUUCGCCUGCCAGGGGGACGCGGUGUGCCUUCAGGCUGCCUCAACACUGCUGCAUUGGGGACCGGUCUCUCUUCCGGAUCGAUCCCCGAGGAGUAAAAAACUCUAGGACUUGUCCAGAAAUUCUAAUUUUCGAACUUUUAGUCGAAAAACAUUCUACAACCGCUCCACCAAGUUGUGAAAACUCGAAUACAUCCAAAACACUCGAACCCUCGCAAUUUGCAAAGGUCCAGUGUGUUACACAUGGGUUUACACCGGCGAUGUCGGCCUGGCGCUGCUUCAUCCCCCGUCAGCCGAAAGGAAUCGAGAGCGCUAGCGCCGAGUCCCUUGCGGCCGUCAGCGUGGAGAGCCAAUCAACCUGCAGCACCCGACGAGUCGUAGUGAGCAGUAUAGAUUGUGAUUAGAGGCACAGAGCUAGAGCAGUGUCGUUGAUACAAGGCGCAUCUUGCAUUCAUUCAUCUAGACUUCAUUUCUAAUACUCAUGGCAUAGAGAUGGUGUACAAGAGGAUUACUAGUGGUGAAUGCCCCAGAGCAUUCCGUCAGUGUCACCUAACGAGUGUUUGGCGUGCUCCAGUGCAAAUAGCGAUUGAUUAUGCAUUGAUCUGCUAGUGCUAGAUGCAGAUGUGGGGCUUCGAUGUCACUAUUGGGGACCAACGGCUCUCCGAAGUACUAUGCGGUGAAGAUUGUGAAGGCUAAGGUGAUCACUUUUCGUGUAGCAUCUAAUCUAGAAGUUAUUUAUGUUUUCUGAUCCAAGCGUGAAAAGUAGGCGCUUCGCGGCGACUAUAUCGCUGUGAGGGUCGAAGAGAAUGAUCAUAGGAAGGGUGAAGGCCUAUUUGGCAACGCAUAGGUGGAUGCUCGAAAGGAGUACCACAGAGUUGGGGAUAUUCGACGAUAGCGUGCGAGUUCCCCGAUGUAUUUCCGAGGCGGAGUCUACGGACUGCCACCGGACGGGAAGUUGAGUUUGUCAUUGACUGUGAUUCCCGGGGCGGAACUCGUUCGAAGGCGGCCGCGUAUAGAAUGGCCCCGUGGAGCUAAAGAGCUACAAAGGUCAAACUACAGACUUGCUUACUAAGGGCUUUGUUGAGCCGAGUGUUCACGCGUGGGACUCCGUGCUAUUGUGAAGAAAAAGGAUGGCAACACUUACGAUCUGCUAGAUUAUUCGCGUAGUGCACAAAUAACAGUAAAGAACAAGUACUGCCGUUAUCCGAAGGAUUGCCGAUGCUAUUCGAUCAUGUUGCAAGGUUCCAAGGUGUAUUCGAAGAUUGAUCUCCAAUCGGGGUAUCAUCAAUUAAAAUCAGCCGAAAGAUGGCAUCAAACGGCGUACCGUAUCGNNNNNNNNNNNNNNNNNNNNNNNNNNNNNNNNNNNNNNNNNNNNNNNNNNNNNNNNNNNNNNNNNNNNNNNNNNNNNNNNNNNNNNNNNNNNNNNNNNNNUUAGGUCGGAAAACAUUCUACAACCCUCCACCAAGUGUGGAAAAGCUCGAAAUACAUCCAAGCACUCGAACCUCGCAAUUUGCAAAGGUCCAGUGUGUUACAUCGUGCUUCGCCGCGACGGUGUCGGUGACGAGAGCAAGAAAGUUAGUCAACAGCGGUUGCAUAGCAUUUUUGGCAACUGUUGUGGAAGUGGAUCAAGUAGCUCCAACAUUAGAGGAGUUAUCGGUGGUACGGGAGUUCCCGGAUGUGUUUCUCGCGGAGUUACCGGGGAUACCACCGGAUCGGGAGAUCGAGUUCGUCAUAGAUUUGAUUCCCAGUACUGCACCGAUCUCGAAGGCUCCGUAUCGAAUGGCGCUGGCGGAACUGAAAGAAUUGAGGAGUCAGUUGCAAGAUCUUCUUGACAAACAGUUUAUCCGGCCAAGUGUAUCACUGUGGGGAGCCCCGGUGUUGUUUGUACGAAAGAAAGAUGGAUCGUUUCGACUCUGUGUGGAUUAUCGAGAGUUGAACAAGGUCACGAUCAAGAAUAAGUACCCACUCCCCCGAAUCGAUGAUUUGUUCGACCAGUUGCAGGGGUUGUGUGUGUACUCAAAAAUAGAUUUGCAGUCCGGCUAUCACCAGUUGAAGAUCAAGCCGGAGGAUGUGCAGAAAACUGCGUUCCGUACGCGGUACGGGCACUAUGAAUUCACGGUUAUGCUAUUUGGACUCAUGAAUGCUCCAGCGGCGUUCUUGAACUUGAUGAACCGUGUCUUCAGAGAGUUUCUGGACCGAUUUAUCGUGGUCUUCAUAGACGACAUAUUGGUCUAUUCUCGCAGUGACGAGGAACAUGCCGAGCAUUUGAGGAUUGUGCUUCAAGUCCUUCAGGAGGAGAAGCUAUAUGCUAAGUUAAAGAAGUGUGACUUCUAGCUCCGAGAGGUCGCAUUUCUAGGGCACGUGAUUUCUGCUGGUGGAGUCUCAGUAGACCCAAGGAAAGUUGAGGCAAUCAAGGAUUGGCCGUGCCCGACGAAUGUCACGGAGGUUCGAAGCUUCGUGGGCUUGGCGGGCUACUAUAGACGGUUCGUGGAGGGCUUCUCGAAGAUAGUAAUUCCACUUACCGGUCUGACUCAGAAAGGCACCAAAUUUGUCUGGAGCGAGGAGUGCGACCGGAGUUUCAAGGAGUUGAAGGAGAAAUUAACUUCGACUCCGGUACUCGCUUUACCGAUGCAAGGCAAAGACUUCGUGGUCUAUAGCGAUACUUCCUAUCUAGGAUUGGGGUGUGUUUUGAUGCAGGGUGGGAAAGUAAUUGCUUAUGCAUUCCGUCAGCUGAAGAGCUAUGAAAAGAACUACCCCAUUCACGACUUGGAGCUAGCGGCGGUAAUCUUCGCCUUGAAGUUGUGGCGGCACUAUCUAUAUGGUGCGCAUUGCGAGAUCUAUACCGAUCACAAGAGCCUAAAAUAUUUGUUCACACAGAAAGAGCUCAACAUGCGUCAACGACGGUGGUUAGAAUUGUUAAAGGAUUACGACGUGAAUAUCCUUUACCACCUGGGGAAGGCGAAUAUGGUCGCAGAUGCACUGAGCAGAAAGUCCAUAGAGAACCUCGCUAUGUGGGUUACAAAUCAAACACCCCUAUGGCUGGACAUGGAGCGAAUGAACAUUGAGGUGGUUGCUCCCGAGAUUCCGGCUCACUUGACGGCACUCGUUGUCCAACUGACCUUGUUGGAGAGGAUAAAAAAUCUGCAACCCGCGGACCCAGAACUCCAAAAGGUGCGGCGUGACAUCGAGAAGGGUUGUGGCGGCGAUUUCAUGGUAGGCGCCGAUGGUGCACUUCGGUUUCGAAACCGAUGGUGUGUGCCAAACAACGAGGAGAUCCGAAGGCUAAUCUUGCAAGAGGCACAUUGGUCGCCUUAUUGCGAUCACCCGGGCGGCACCAAGAUGUAUUAGGGAUUAAAAAUGCACUAUUGGUGGUCGGGAAUGAAAAGUGAUAUUGGACGCUUCGUGGCGAAGUGCUUAGUAUGCCAACAAGUAAAGGCCGAGCGUCGAUUUCCAGUAGGAAAGCUUCAAAGCCUACCAAUCCCCAUUUGAAAAUGGGAAGAUAUAUCGAUGGACUUCGUGGUCGGCUUGCCUCGCUCAACGGGCAGCCACGAUGCGAUAUUGGUAAUUGUGGACCGAUUGACGAAGUCGGCUCACUUUUUGCCGAUCCACACCACGUGGGCAGGCGACAAGUUGGCGCAGGUGUACCUUGCUGAGAUAGUGAGGUUGCACGGGGUGCCAAAAUCGAUCGUGUCGUAUCGCGACCCCCCGUUUACUUCACACUUCUGGAAGAGCAUGCAAGAAGCGCUUGGCACACGGCUCGACUUCAGCACAGUAUUUCAUCCUCAGAUAGAUGGGCAAACUGAGAUGACCAUUCAAACUCUGAAGGAUAUGUUGUGAGCGUGUGUCAUCAACUAUAAAGGGAGUUGGUGUGAUCAUCUGCCGAUGGCCGAGUUCGCCUACAACAAUAGUUAUCACGCUAGUGUGGAGAUGGCACCAUUCGAGGCUCUCUAAGGGCAGAACUGUCGGUCUCCUAUACACUGGAGUGAUGUGGGCGAGCGUGCAGAGUUCAGCCCUAAUGUUCUGCGAGAAGCGGAGGAAAAAGUCCGCCUUGCGCGCAAGCGAUUGCUCACGGUGCAGUCGGGACAGAAAAGCUAUGCGGAUAGGCGCCGUCGAGAUAUAGAGUUCGCAGUGGGCGACCGCGUAUUCUAAAGGUUUUGCCAAUGCGGGGUGUGAAACGGUUUGAAGUACGGGAAAAGUUGAGUCCCCGGUACAUUGGACCCUAUGAAAUAUUGGAGCGAGUUAGUACGGUGGCUUAUUGGCUCGCCUUGCCGCCGAAGCUCGCGGAUGUACAUAAUGUGUUCCAUGUCUCCAACCUUCGCAAGUAUAUUCAUGACCCCGAGCACGCGAUGCUAUACGAGCCGCCGGAACUCUAAUAAGACUUGAGCUACGAGGAGUUUCCGGUGAUGGUUAUUGCUCGAGAAGUGCGAAAACUGAGAAGUCGCGAGAUUCCUUACGUGAAGAUCCGGUGGAGAAAUCAUGAUGAUUGUGAGGCCACCUAGGAACUCGAGGAUCUGAUGAGAAAGCAUCAUCCUCACUUGUUUGAGGAAUAAGGUAUAGAAACUGAGUUUUAAUUAAGUUGAAUCAGUUUUGUCACGCCCCGAGACCGAUACCAAUUUGGGCUGGCCCGAGCACGUCAAACAGACGCCGAACGGACAGAGUUUCGCCUGUCCGCCCAAGGCUCAUCACCUGUACAUUUUUAAGUAGAGAAAAGCACUAGCGGAAACAUACACAAACGGCUUACACGAGGGUAAGCAAUAGCCAUGAGUGAAAGAAAGGAAACUAAACAUCUACACAAGUACUAUGAUUCUCUUUUGAUCACAUACAUUGCAUUCAUAGUUCUUUACAUCCUUUUCAUCAUUUCUUUUUACAUUACAUUCUCGUUGAGAUAAACAUUACAUUCUUUUUCUUUUACAUCUCAAUUUAUCAAAUACAAAAGAACUACAAAAUGUAAACCCGACUUGGUAGUCACUGUCUAUGGCGCGAUACCUUUACCACGGUCGCUCGCCGGCUCGCUCGGUCCC